CAGACACAGCCGGUUAGCAGCUCUCACUUCCCCAGCCCUGCUGAGCUGAGCAACCCCAGGGAGCGUGGAGAAAUUGUUGGUACACUCUCCAGAAGACUGUGGGAAGAAACACCCCUAAGCCUUGAGCCUGGAGUCUGGCGGGCUGCAGGAGCUACCAGCAGAACCUCAGGCACAAGGGAUCCACAUGUUCACAGCUGCCACGGGGAAGACAGAAAAGAAAGGAAAUGAAAGGUCAAGAGGACAGAGAAAGUGAAGGGAGAAGAAGGGAAAAGAAAGAAUUGCAUAAGGUGGAGUGGUCAAAAGUGGACUGCCCACCCUUUCCUGAGAUUUUCUUCCCUGCCCCUCCCCUAGCUGAAGGCCCCUCUGCAGGAUGCCCCGGUCCGGAGGCAGCCAGCCAACCAGGCAGUGUCUCCCUGAUUUCAGCUGACUAAAAUAUGUUGGCCUGAAGCCUAUAAACUUGUGUGUUUUUGAUUGCUCACCAGAUUCUCAUCCAAACGCCUUUCACUUUUUCACUCCACAAAGGAGAACAUGUCAUGGAAGUGACUUGCCUAAGAACAUACUUCAAGCUAUCUCUUCACCAAGAGAACUCUAAGUUAGACAAAAGGACGAAUCUGUGGAAGGCUGUCAGCAGGAUACAAUGCUCAUGUGUGUGCCAAGCAUUUUUUAAAUUAGCCAACUGUCCUCACCAGAGGCUGUGACUGACAAAAAAUCAUAUCACCAUAUCCAGGCUGGGCGCGGAGGCUCACGCCUGUAAUCCCAGCACUUUGGGAGGCCGAGACAGGCAGAUUGGUUGACGUCAGGAGUUCAAGACCAGCCUGGCCAACAUGGUGAAACCCCAUCUCUGUCAACGAGACCCAAGGCAAACGGGAGCUCUUUCCAGGAGGACGAAAAGUGUCACUACCCCAGGUUGGAGGGAGAGGGAGAGAUGCCACCAAGAAGAGGGUCACAAGACAGCACAUCCAAAAGGACUCAAGGUACAUCAACCACCCAAAUCCAUCAUGAUCCUAUGUGGGUUCUGCCUAAGGAAGACUUUCAAGGCAGGAGGCCCUUGAGGAAGAACAGAAUCAUCAUGUCAUCAUCCAGGGUCCUCUAUCUCUGGCAAAGACUGGCCUGAUGAAUGGGAUCAGAGCUGGAGGCCUGGGUAUCUUUUGACUGCAAGAGUUAGGGGUGGCGGGGUCGAUACAGUCCUGCGGCAGCCAAGACAUCCCCAACCUGUCCCUGAAUAACAGACAAGUCUACAUUUCCUGAAAUUCUGUAUCACUGUAUUGGCAAUAAACACCUAGAGAAGUAAGAAAGGAGGAGCUCCUACAACACAAGGCUACCAUUGCUGCCUUCUGCACUUGUUCUUUUUGCUCUCCUCUCUGUUCACUCGUUUGUAGUAAAUAGCUCUUAAAUCUUUAAAACAAAAAUUAAAUAGAGAAAGAAAUCAUACAGAAUCAUAGAGACAAAGUAAAACAGUGGUUGCCAGGGGCUGGCAAAGUAGAUAAUGGGAAGUUAGUGUUUAAUGGGUACAGAGUUUCAGCUUUACGAGAUGAAAAGAGUGUUGGAGAUGGAUGGUGGGGAUGGUUGCCCAAUAAUGUGAAUGUACUUGAUGCCACUCAACUGUAUGCUUACAAAGGGUUAAAAUGGUAUAUUUUAUGUUAUGCAUAUUUUACAACAAUUUUUUUUAAGUUAAUGGGGCCGGGCACGGUGGCUCACACCUGUAAUCCCAGCACUUUGGGAGGCCGAGAUGAGCGGAUCACUUGAGGUCGGGAGUUCAAGACCAGCCUGGCCAACAUGACAAAACCCUGUCUCUACUGAAAAUACAAAAAUUAGCCUGUAGUCCCAGCUACUUGGGAAGCUGAGGCUUGAGAAUCACUUGAAUCUGGGAGGUGGAGGUUGCAGUGAGCCGAGAUCAUGCCACUGCACUCCAGCCUGGGCAACAGAGCAAGACUCUAAGAAAAAAAAAAAAAGUUAAUGGUAUUUGCUAGUCUUCAAGGUCAAUAAAGAAAAGUGAAGGGUAACCAGGUAAAUGUGUCCCACUCUACAGCUAAUUUUGAGGAGACCAGAAACCUAAGGGCAAGAAGGAGUAUUGGCAACUGUUAAAAGGAAAGAAAAGUAGACUCUAUCCCAGGAGCCUGCAGCAGAGAAGAAAAACAAAAACCAAAACAUUUGAGAGGCAGGAUGAGCAUCUGAACUGGCCCGGUCCUGGAGUUUGGAGUAGAUAGACCUUUGAGUGAUGUAGAGACAUAGAGGCCACACAUUCCUCCAGGCCUGCCCCAUCACAAGGCCAUCCCUCUCACUCUUCAUUGUCUUUUCCAAAAUAUUGCUGUUCUUGCCUUCCUCAGUAGUCUCUUCUUUUGAACUACAGGCUAUCCUGUAACACCAUCACUUUCCCAUCCUCUCCCACAGUGUGCCUGAGAGCCUUAAUAUCUGGUUUGCCGUUUCCUGGACUCUUGCCAGUUAAUGGGGUAAUUUCAACAUUCAUGUUGAUGACUUAGCCAAUCUCAUUUCCUCUGUUUCCAUAUGGCCAUCUUCAUCUUUGGUAACCCAUUCCUGAGGCCACACCCUGCAAUAAUAACAAUAGUCAUGACUAUAUAUCAGAACUUGCCAAGUGGCAGGCACCAUGCUAGUAAAUUCACAUCAUUUUCCGUAACCCUCACAGAUAAUGUAAAGUCAGGCUAUAGCACUCCUAGGUAGAGAUGGCCCAGUGUCACAGAGAUAAUGACUAGAUAGGGGCUAGGAUUCUAAACCUGCUGCUCAGACUCCCAAGUCCAUGCUCUCCUCUCUUUAUAGCACAGCCUCAGAACACAUCUGAAAUAUAAACCCUGAAACUCCCGGUCUCUGACCAUACACUCUUGCCUUGACCUCUUCCACCAAACCUCUUCCUUGGCCUCAUCAAAUGUCCAACCUCUCAAUGCUUGCUUUUAUUCCAAAUUUAUCAAUCCUUCCUGAUGUUCUUCCUUCCAUACCUGUGGCCAGAGGAAAUGCUGAGAAAAUCCUCAUAAGACUGUUUCUUUGGCUCAGUGCCCAUGCAAUGAACUCCCUCCCUUUGAUCAUCAGGCUACUGAUUAAAUUAGUAAAAUCCUCUAGGCCUAAAAUUGUAAGCAAUGCUAUAAUGGUGAUAUAAGUGCUGAACUUUAAUAAGUGUGAUAGAUUGGUUGGAACCAAGUGGAGAGAAAACAGCUGAUGGCAGGUGGCACAUGAUAAGAACCAUGGCUAUUCCCAGUUGGUCUCAUAAAAAUGAGGCCCCAUGCUUCCUCUCAGGGCUGUUUGAUCCAGCAAGAGUGCAUUCUGACCGUGAUGUCACUGCUGGCAUCCACUGAAAGACAUGCUCUCUCCCUCCAUCUUGAAGACGGUGACUCAACACCCUAGGGUUUCCACAAGUGGCUGGAAAAAAUUCUCACUCCCUUUACCAUCCAUCAACAUGCACCCACUGCCACUGAGUGAUUGUGACAGUAAAGUGUGCCCUUCAGUAGAGACCUCCCUUCCCUCUUCAAGACUAAGGCUUGCAGGAGGAGUUGAGGAGGGAAACAAAGUAGAAUUCUGUAGUUUAAUGUGAAAGCAUAGGUAAGCAUGUAUGUUCUUUGUCAUUAGACAAAGAAUAUGACAGACAAAAAUGCAAAAGCAUAUGAGAUAGACCUAUAUGUAACAAGUUCUGAACUCUUGGUCAUCAAUAAUUCAGAGCCUAUCCUAGUCAAUCGCUUCAACAACACUCUCAACAUCUCCAUUCUCUUGCCCUCUUGCCCAGUCCUUCUGCUCACCCUUGACAUUCCACAGCAACUCUGUUUUCUCCAAUUCUGAAUAUUCUGCCACUGUUGGAAAAGAAAAUCAUAAAACUAUGUUGAUUAUCUAAAUUACGUUUUAAAGCUCAAACCUCAGUUCUGCCCUGCAUAUUCCUGUAUUGUGUUUCCUUACAGCAGCAUUUCCAAAUUUGUUCCAUGUUGCUCAAGUUCCCUACCCCAACCCUAGCCCCUUGACCCUCACAAGACAACACAGCUUCCUAAUGUCCAAGAAAAAAAAAGCAGUCAUCCACAAUUUUUAUCCCUUUCAAGUUUUACUUCCACUUACCUUCCCCACUUCUUGUUCAAAAAGAAAGUACCCCACUUCUAUCCAGGGCCAGUCAAUCCAUCAGCAUGUUGAUCCUGGCCUUCCUCUUCUAGGAUGUUUCAUGAACUCCAGACUUCUUCAUCCAAAAAAAAUCAAUCACUAAAGCAAGCCUUCCCUCAGUUCUACAUACUCAUCAAACCACCGCCCUAUGGCUGCCCUUCCAUGAGUACCCACCUGUUUUUGGUACUCAUGCCCUCCACUGCCUCACCUCCCCAUUCAUCCCUCAAUUUGUCAUAAUUUAGCUCCC
rnacentral:lncRNA from 10 species